AUUUUCUCAUGACUCAUAUCACUGCUCUGUUCUUCUGCUUGAACACACUAAAUUAGUUUUUUUUGCUUAUUUAUAUAAAUAUAUCCUAGUGCUCGUUUUCAUAUAACUCAUAUGCAUUCUAUCUCAUCCCCCCUACAACUUUUGCUGUUAAUUACGAUGAAGGUGUGUGCUGUUAAUUACGAUGAAGGUUGGUCUGUCUUCUUCAAUUGAGGUACAGUUCUAUUACAUAUCUUCACUGUUUUGUUUCCAAGAAACGAAGGUUUACCUUAAAAACUGAUUGGUGUUUAUGCAAUUUACUGAAACAGUUGUUCUAGGUUGGGUCCAUGUUUUGCAAAUCCAAAUGAUGGAAAUGUUGGGCUCCAAAUUAAGGCACAACUGCCUAUCUUUCUCCAACACCAUACUGUCCAAGCCUAACGCCACCAGUGAAGUCUGCAGAGAUUUUUCCCCCAAUGUACCAAAAAGAAGAAGAAAUUUGGACUUGCGCUCUAAAACUUCAAUGAAAGUUCACUUUUAUUUUGAUUAGAUUUGUUGUAAGGGUUGAUGUUUAUUUGCAGGGUCUUUUUGAUGCCAUUAUCUUUUUUGAGCAAAUGGGGAUAUUCAUCAGCUUCUCAAUAACCAAGUAAAUUCUUUUGUUACUCGAAUAUCUGCG
rnacentral:lncRNA from 1 species